rnacentral:rRNA from 1 species
GACGAACCACCCAAACGUUAUUCGGAAUUACUGGGCUUAAAGGGUGCGUAGGCUGUGCGGAAAGUUGGGUGUGAAAUACCUCAGCUUAACUGAGGAACUGCGCUCAAAACUACCGUGCUCGAGGGAGACAGAGGUGAGCGGAACUUAGGGUGGAGCGGUGAAAUGCGUUGAUAUCCUAAGGAACACCGGUGGCGAAAGCGGCUACACUGGAUCUCUUCUGACGCUGAGGCACGAAAGCUAGGGUAGCGAACGGG